rnacentral:rRNA from 1 species
GACGAACGCUGGCGGCGUGCCUAAUACAUGCAAGUAGAACGCUGAAGGAGGAGCUUGCUCUUCUGGAUGAGUUGCGAACGGGUGAGUAACGCGUAGGUAACCUGCCUGGUAGCGGGGGAUAACUAUUGGAAACGAUAGCUAAUACCGCAUAAGAGUAGAUGUCGCAUGACAUUUGCUUAAAAGGUGCAAUUGCAUCACUACCAGAUGGACCUGCGUUGUAUUAGCUAGUUGGUGAGGUAACGGCUCACCAAGGCAACGAUACAUAGCCGACCUGAGAGGGUGAUCGGCCACACUGGGACUGAGACACGGCCCAGACUCCUACGGGAGGCAGCAGUAGGGAAUCUUCGGCAAUGGACGGAAGUCUGACCGAGCAACGCCGCGUGAGUGAAGAAGGUUUUCGGAUCGUAAAGCUCUGUUGUAAGAAAAGAAACGAGUGUGAGAAGUGGAAAGUUCAACACUGUG